AAUCUCUCAGGGUUGCACCUGGAGAGUUUCCAGUAUGCUUCCAGUCUUGGCUAUGGGAGGGAGAGUCAAGCAGAGGCAUACCCAUUCCAUUCCUAGUUUGGGCAGUGGUUAGCAAGUGGAAGGCAAUCUGCUACCAGU